AUACCCCGCGAAACUGACGGUACUUGCUAGAAUAAGCACCGGCUUAACUACGUGCCAGCAGCCGCGGUAAUACGUAGGGUGCAAGCGUUAAUCGGUAAUUACUGGGCGUAAAGCGUGCGCAGGCGGUUCGCGAAAGAAAGAUGUGACAAUCCCAGAGCUUAACUUUGGAACUGCAUUUUUAACUACCGGGCUAGAGUGUGUCAGAGGGAGGUGGAAUUCCGCGUGUAGCAGUGAAAUGCGUAGAUAUGCGGAGGAACACCGAUGGCGAAGGCAGCCUCCUGGGAUAACACUGACGCUCAUGCACGAAAGCGUGGGGAGCAAACAGGAUUAGAUACCCUGGUAGUCCACGCCCUAAACGAUGUCAACUAGCUGUUGGGGCCUUCGGGCCUUGGUAGCGCAGCUAAAGCGUGAAGUUGACCGUCUUGGGGAU
rnacentral:rRNA from 1 species